rnacentral:tRNA from 1 species
UGGGGUGUAGCUCAGUGGCAGAGCAAUUGCCCAGCAUGUACGAGGUCUUGGGUUUGAUCCCCAAUAUCACAA